rnacentral:rRNA from 1 species
UACUCCUACGGGAGGCAGCAGUGGGGAAUAUUGCACAAUGGGCGCAAGCCUGAUGCAGCGACGCCGCGUGAGGGAUGGAGGCCUUCGGGUUGUAAACCUCUUUUGUUAGGGAGCAAGGCACUUUGUGUUGAGUGUACCUUUCGAAUAAGCACCGGCUAACUACGUGCCAGCAGCCGCGGUAAUAA